rnacentral:rRNA from 1 species
UGACCUGCCCAAUGAAAAGGAAUUUAAAUGGCCGCGGUAUAUUGACCGUGCAAAGGUAGCAUAAUCAUUAGUUUUUUAAAUGGAAGCUGGAAUGAAGGGUUUGAUGAGAAAAUAGUUGUCUCUAUUUAAUUUUUUUUUUGAAAUUUAUUUUUAAGUGAAAAAGCUUAAAUUUAUAUAAAAGACGAGAAGACCCUAUAGAGUUUUAUAUUUAUAUAGAUAAAAAUUAUUUGGUAUUAUAGAUUUUAUACAUAUAAAUAUUUAGUUGGGGUGAUUGAAAAAUUUGAUAAACUUUUUUUAUAAAAUCAUUAAUUUAUGAUUGUAUGAUCCUUUAUUUAAGAUUAAAAGAUAAAAUUACCUUAGGGAUAACAGCGUAAUUUUUUUAAAAGUUCUUAUUAAAAAAGAAGUUUGCGACCUCGAUGUUGGAUUAAAAGAAAUUUUUGGUGUAGAAGCUGAAAAAUUAGGUCUGUUCGACCUUUAAUAUUUUACAUGAUCUGAGUUUAAACCGGUGUGAGCCAGGUCGGUUU